UGGGGAAUAUUGCACAAUGGGCGCAAGCCUGAUGCAGCAACGCCGCGUGAACGAUGAAGGUCUUCGGAUCGUAAAGUUCUGUUGCAGGGGAAGAUAAUGACGGUACCCUGUGAGGAAGCCCCGGCUAACUACGUGCCAGCAGCCGCGGUAAUACGUAGGGGGCUAGCGUUAUCCGGAUUUACUGGGCGUAAAGGGCGCGUAGGCGGUCUUUCAAGUCGGUGGUUAAAGGCUACGGCUCAACCGUAGUUAGCCUCCGAAACUGGCAGACUUGAGGACAGGAGAGGAGAGUGGAAUUCCCGGUGUAGCGAUGAAAUGCGUAGAUAUUGGGAGGAACACCAGUAGCGAAGGCGGCUUUCUGGACUGCAACUGACACUGAGGCACGAAAGCGUGGGUAGCAAACAGG
rnacentral:rRNA from 1 species